rnacentral:rRNA from 1 species
GACGAACGCUGGCGGCGUGCUUAACACAUGCAAGUCGAACGAAGUGGCGAACGGGUGAGUAACGCGUAAUCAACCUGCCCUUCAGAGGGGGACAACAGUUGGAAACGACUGCUAAUACCGCAUACUACCAGAUGGACCUGCGUUGUAUUAGCUAGUUGGAGGGGUAACGGCCCACCAAGGCGAUGAUCAGUAGCCGGUCUGAGAGGAUGAACGGCCACAUUGGGACUGAGACACGGCCCAGACUCCUACGGGAGGCAGCAGUGGGGAAUCUUCCGCAAUGGACGAAAGUCUGACGGAGCAACGCCGCGUGAGUGAUGACGGCCUUCGGGUUGUAAAGCUCUGUUAAUCGGGACGCGGUACCGGAAUAGAAAGCCACGGCUAACUACGUGCCAGCCGCCGCGGUAAUUC